rnacentral:rRNA from 1 species
UCCUACGGGAGGCAGCAGUAGGGAAUUUUCCGCAAUGGGCGAAAGCCUGACGGAGCAACGCCGCGUGAGGGAUGAAGGUUUUCGGAUCGUAAACCUCUGUCUUCAGGGACGAUAAUGACGGUACCUGAGGAGGAAGCCACGGCUAACUACGUGCCAGCAGCCGCGGUAAUACGUAGGUGGCAAGCGUUGUCCGGAAUUACUGGGCGUAAAGGGCGUGUAGGCGGCCUUUUAAGUCAGGCGUGAAAUCCAUGGGCUUAACCCAUGAAUUGCGUUUGAAACUGGAGGGCUUGAGGAUCGGAGAGGGCAGUGGAAUUCCCAGUGUAGCGGUGAAAUGCGUAGAUAUUGGGAGGAACACCAGUGGCGAAGGCGACUGCCUGGACGACACCUGACGCUGAGGCGCGAAAGCUAGGGGAGCAAACGGGAUUAGAUACCCCGGUAGC